UCUGCUUCAAUCCCCAAUCCCCCGGCGCAGUCCAGUCUCCUCCCUCCCCUUGGCGCAGCGCAUCAGCCAGCCAGCCAGCCAGCAACGGCGCCGGAGCGAUGCGGCCCCACACCCGCAGCGAGUUCGGCUUCUCCGUCGCCGGCAAGCGCAAGCGCUCGCCGGAGUUCCCCUGCGUGUCGCGCUUCCGGCAGCGGCGGCUCAUCUCCUUCCGCGGGCACCACAACUUCAACCGCACCGUGGAUGUGUUGGUGACCCAGACGGACGUGUUCCUGUGCCUGAGGCACCUGGCCGAGCUGGUGGACGCGGGCUCCUGGGACGAGGCCAUCGACUACCUCUCCCGCUUCCUGCCGUCCGACCGCCCACUCGGCGUCCACGGCCCGCGCCCUCCUCCACUACCUCCGCGUGCACAAGGCCAUCGACGACGUGCUCGCCGGAGCCCCGGAGGCCCGCUCCGUCACCACCGCCCUCGACCAGUGCAUCAUCCGCCACCCCACCAAGAGCCACGCCGUCACCAGGCUCCUUGCCGUCUUCUCCUCCCUCCUCUGCUCCAAGAGAUACAGGGCUGUCCUGGACAUAGAGAGCGUGAGGCAGACAAUGUAAGAUAAGUGUUGGUAAAUUUGCCACCUACUUCCUCCGUUCCUAAAUAUAAGUCAUUAAAGAUAUUCCACUAUGAACCACAUACAGAGUAAAAUGAAUGAACUACACUUUAAAAUGCAUCUACAUACAUCUGUAUGUGGUCCAUAGCGAAAUCUCUACAAAGACUUAUAUUUAGGAACAGAGGAAGUAGAAUAUAAUGAUGAUGUGUCAUGUAAUAAAUGUGGAGAGAGAGCAAAGUUGUAUGUAGAUUAAAGCAUCUAUAGCAGUUUAUAUUUACAAUCGUUGGUAUAAAUGUCCACGUCAGCAGCCAACAGCACAUCAUACAAGCUCUUCAAUGAGGCGUAUGUUAAACAACCAGGCGGGUUCACUAAAUGUUGAAAAAAUGAACAGACUUACCUCGGAGCUUGUGCCUGGAGCGUUGCUUCAGGUUCAUACGAUUUCAUUCUCUCUAUUCUUUUAUUAUGUGUCAUGUCAUCAAAACAGUCUAGAGCCUCCUUUGGUUCAUAGGAUAGAAAUAUCAUAGGAAUAGGAAAAUCAUAAGAAGUGAGAUGAUAUGCAUCUCAAUUCCUAUAGAGAAAGGCAUGUCAUUUGAUACAUAGAAUAGGAAUUUUUCCAUUGAGUCUAGGCUAAUGUUUUUUAUCCUUUGAAAUGUGAAGGAUUGAUCCCUAUCCUAAUAGGAAUAGGAAUGCAUUCCUAUAAACCAAAGGGCCCCAUUAGGAAUUUUUCCUUCGAAAAUCCUAUCCUAGGAAAUUCCUACAAGAUUCCUACAAACCAAAGGAGGCCUAGAUGACAACUUUACCAACGAUGAUCAUACGACUGUUGGAGAUGCCCUUAACCAACAACCUUUACACAAGCUCCAAGGUGAAAUAGAGAGCAAUCACAUUUAUUUUCUUCUGAGUUAAAUACACCACGGAUGCCUUAACUUGUCCGUUGCGGUCAGUUUAGUGCCUAAACUUGUAAAAUACACAAAAACGAUGCUAUAACUUGGCACACGGUGCAUAUAUGGUGCCUCCGCCCGUAUGCCACCGUAUGUGAUGUCCACGUGGAGUGAUAGCUGAUGGCUGACCCACAUGUCAAUGGGUGUGAGCGAUGCCUGCGCUGGGUGAAAUGUGUACGAGUUUAUUUCCAGAAAAUUAAUAUUUAAUUAAAGUCACAAAUAAGCCCUUGCUCUAUGUAUGCUAAUAACAGGAAAAAAAUAAACUGCGUCUUUGAAUUGGUUUCGACCCGGGACAUUCACGUUAAAUAGCUUUUUUUAGACAAAUCCACGUUAAAUAGCUAGUACACACGCUAGCCACCAAAACUAAUAGUACUUUGUAUACAGCUGUUAGCUGAAAAGUCUAUCUAUCGCUCUGCAAUUUCUAUUAUGUUUUUAAGUUACUGUUUGGUUUUUAUGAUAUGAAAUAUUCUAAUAUUAAAAUAUAAUAAUUAUCGACAUGCGAUUAUUGUCUAUUUAAAUUUUUACUAUUUGUAGUUCAAAGAUUUAACCAUGAACUUUUUCCAAAAUUUAUGUUGAUUUAAACAGUUCAACGUAUAUUAUAAAAUAUUACAAAUCUGUUUUGCAUCUUCAUUCAGGAACACAAGCACGCAGAAUUAUUUUGUAUCUUUGUUGUAUUUUUAGAAUACAUAAUUAUUAAAAAUCAACAACGUUGUAUUCCGAAAAUUGUUCAACAUGUAUUAAAAAUCAUUGUGUAGAAACAACAAAUUCUAUAAAUGUGUUAACACAUGUUAGACGUGUCAGUAGAGAUGUAAGAAUAAUCUUACACUAAUUUUUUAAUACACAUUGAAUAUUUUAUGAAAUAGAUGUUGUAAUUUUUUGAAUGCAUGACAGACAUUUUUGAAAAACACGUCUACAAUUUCUUAAUGCACUAACACCUUUUUAAGUUCAUGGCAGGUAAUAUGUUGAAUAGUUCCUUUGUUUCAAACGUGAGAAUUUCUUAAUAUUUUUUUCAAUUUCCCACGAAUCAAAACUUUCUUUUUUAUUUCUCUUUAUUAUUUCGCUCGGUUUCUUGAUAAAUAGAAGCGUAUUAGGAUAUUGCACGGUCAACUAUUCUAGGCGUGGUGAUUAGCACAUGUGUUCGAAUCCUGUCGGGUGCUCUUUUUUUUUGUUAUUACUACUAGGAAAAAGGCCCGUGCGUUGCAACGGAAAAAAAAGACUUAGCACCAUAAGUAAGCAUAACUCGAGGCCCCUUAGCAGAUUUGCACGAACUAUAUAUGCAAUACUCGGACAGUUCCCUACUAACACUGACAGUAAACUAUAAGAUAUGAUCAAUCCUAGAGGUUAAGGAAAUCAGCAGCUAUAUUUUCCCUGUUUAUGUGCUCUGAUCGUGGUAUUGUCGUUGUUGAAGGCAUACAUGUGGGCCCCGUUGUCCACAACCGCUACGGGAUAAACUAUGGCCAUGAUGCAGACCCUGCUGCCACCGCCGAAGCUCUCCACCGCUGAUGGAUCAAUAUGCAUGACACAUCAUUCAUGUUCAGUUCUGACACAAAGUGCGCGAAGUGAACAACAUGAGAAAUGAAAUAGCUUCCCAAACUCACCAGAGUUCUCAGAGAUAUCUUCUUUUCCUUUUGAAGAUCAAAUUCAAAGAAGCCUCCAUAGGCUGGUGUGCAUAGUCCUGGUCUUAAUAAAGAACUGUGCAAAAGAAAAGAAAAUAAUUAUUUUUACUCUUCAGACAUUUUUAGAGAUAAAUAAAACAUUAAGGCAAAAACCAUAAGCAUUAACCUUCUUCAGAUUAGCCACAGUUGCUCUGAAAUAUAUAUAUAGAACACCUAAGCAUGAGAGCGGCGUUUUGGUGGCCGAGCACCCUGCAGGCCGUAAUCUCCUGCCGUGCAUGUAUCGCCGCGAUAUGUGCUCUCGUUUUUCUCGAUUGCUAUAUACGGUGCCUGAUGAGUUGGAAUACAGCCGUGCUAUGGGCUGGUGUGCCACCGUUGUACGUGGGCCUGGACGGCACGCGGUGUACGCAGGCACUUCAUGCGCCUGCUGAGCUCAUCUAAAGAUUGGCCCAUGUAGCUGCAAGCCUGCAACGGUGGCUGGUACAAUAUUAAUCCGCGCUUUAAUGGGCCGGUCUGGCGCUCCAGCUGCUUAACCACAUGAUCGGUUUCUUUUUCUUUCCUUGGUCGUCUCUUGCUGUGCGGAGCGGCGAUUCGCCAUGGAUGGCCUCGAGUUCUUCUUGGAGGAAGAAGAAUCUGGAUUGGUUCCUAGGCUAGAUGCGGGAGAUAUUUUGGGUGGUGGGAUAGAUGUUGUGGAGUCUGUGGUUGCUUCUAUCCAUGAAGCUCACGGCCCCUCGACUGAUCUGAUAUAUUCUGAGCCCAUGGACAGCAGCAGCGGCGAAGGGCAUGCCGGAGAUGUGGAAGAGGAUCUGAGGAUGUUGGCUUAUUCUGCAACGGCGGAAGUGAGGUCGUUGGUGACUCAAACGACAUGCCCCCUGAUUGCGAGAAAGCUGCAUCUGUGAGAGAAGAUGGAGAUGCAGAUGGUGUCAUCGUCAACAAUUCAAAGGGCUCCUGCUGGAGUCGACGGUAACAGACACACGCUUGAUUUUGCCCUUAUCUUUCAUCUGUACCACUGAUUCUAGCUUUCUGCACUAGCCUGUAGCAAAAGAACACACACCCGUGGGGGUGUUUUCCCACCGUGGACAAACCAAACAAUGUUUCGUUCUUGUAGUUCUGAUGCUAGCUUGAAAACCACAAACUUUAAUCCUAGGUGUCAUCCUUGUAGAAGGUAAAUACAUGAUUCUGCAUCAAUGUUCAGUACUGAAAUUUUAGGGAUUACUCUUCCUAUCUAGGUUUGGACUGCUAGAAAAUACAGUUAACAACAUUUUUGGAAAAGAAUGCAGUAUUAAGAUUGGCAAGGCGUGCAGAAGAAAGGGAUGCCAACCCGAGCAGAGUCCCUGCGCUUGAGGCUUCAAUGAGGACUUACACAGAGAACAAGGCUGAUAGUGUUGUCAAUCCGGCGGUCGGAACUAGCUUUGACACAGUUGAGGAAGCGUAUGAGUUUUACAACCUAUACUCCUGGUAGACUGGCUUUGGCGUCAGGUAAUCCAAAAGCAGACUGAAUGUUCAUGGGACAAAGUGUAUGCAAGAGUUUGUGUGCGCAUGUGCGGGUAAGCCAUUGCAAUCCAACAGCCGAUCGACAAGGUCCGGGUGUGCUGCGUUGAUGCGGGUGCUUAGAUCUGAAGAUAAAGGAUGGUACAUAUGUGAACACAAAUCAGAGCAUAACCAUGCACUCUCAGUUAAUUGUAUGAGAAGCUACACUGGAAGUCUCACCGACACAUAGAUAGAUAUACCAGAGACUUGGUGAAACAGCUAAGAGAAAACAAUAUAAGCUUAAGCAAGGUUUACAGUGUAGUUGGCAGUUUUUUUGGAUCGGUGAAGGAGGUGCCAUUCACAAAGAGAUCUCUGAAAACUCUAUGUGGAAAACUUAAUAAAGAGCAAUCGGAAAAUGAUGCCACGAAGACAAUACAGGUUUUCAACGCAAUGCGGGCUGAGGAUCCUGAGUUUAAAUACAGUGUACAACUUGAUCUUGAAGGUAGAGUUAAGAUGUUGAUGUGGACAACAGGGAGAAGCAUUGAGCAGUUUAAGUGCUUUGGCGACGCUGUCACAUUUGAUACCACGUACAAGACAAAUCUGUAUGACAUGCCGUUCGGUCUUUUUGUUGGUGUCAACAAUCACUUCAAAAGCAUUUUUUUUGGUGGUGUGCUGAUGAGCGAUGAGAAAAUCGACACUUUCAAAUGGAUAUUUACAGAGUUCUUCCGAAUGAUAGGUGCUCCUCAGCCGCGCACAAUCCUCACGGAUCAAGCUCGUGCGAUGGAAGUUGCCAUAGAAGAUGUCAUGCCGCAUACAGUGCAUCGAUGGUGCAAAUGGCAUGUCCUGAAGAAAGUAAAAGAGAGCCUUGGAUCAUUGAUGGCCAAGGGCGCUGAGUUCAAACAAGAGUUCAACAAGAUGGUGCAUCACAUCGUUUGUGAGAAGGAACUUGAGGAUGGCUAGGCAUGUAUGCUUGAUAAGCAUGGGUUGCAAAAAAACACAUUUCUCACCCAGAUUUAUGAGACCAGGAUGAAAUGGGCUAAACCUUACUUCAUGAAUGUUUUCUGCGCCAAGAUGACUAGCACGCAGCGGAGCAAGAGUGCAAACCAUUUGCUCAAAGGGUACGUGCCGCCAGGAUCCCCGAUGCACCUCUUUGUUAGGCAAUAUGAGAAGAUGCAAUUUGAUAGAGAUUCAGAGGAGAGUUACCAGGAGAAAAGAACCAAGCUGGGUGGUGUUGUGCUGGCUCAGAACCUCCCCAUCGAGAUUCAUGCAUCGAAAAUUUACACACGGGCUAUGUUUGAAAAUUUUGGCGAGAUGCUAUAUGAGGGUGGGUCAUAUGUUCUGGUCGAAGUUGUCCCUCGUCGUGAAUACAUAGCAAGGCAUGUAAAAAAAGAUUCCCAGGACAAGUGGUGCAAAAAUGAAUUCCUCGUCCAGGUCAACGAGCUUGCUGAUGAAUACAAAUGUGAAUGCGAGAUGUUUGGGCAUUUUGGCAUGGUCUGUAGUCAUGCACUAAAGGUGAUGAUCUAGCUUGGUCUGCAAGAGGUUCCGGCAAAACAUGUGCUGAAGCGUUGGACAAGGGAUGCAAGGGAUAUACUGCCUCCAGAAUUUAUCCGUUACCAGAAACACCAAGGUCCUCUCAAGUACUCCUCACGGUAGCCGCUGUACGUGAUGGCAUGGGAUUAUCCGACAGAGAAAUGGCGGGUGAUUCUGCAGGCUCGUCUAUAGCGCACAAACAACAUUUUGGUCCAGUGAAUCAGGUGCAGAGUGUCUCGCAAUGUUCAGACAGCUUUGGGGCACCAUCCAAGAAGAGACCAGCGGGGCGGCCUACAACAAGCCGCGACAAAGCGCCAUAUGAACAACCGGCUAAAAGGAGCCGGUUUUGUUCAAUCUGCCGUGGUCAAGGGCACAAGAGCACUACAUGUCCGUAGCGCGGUGAUCUUCCGAAGGCGCAAGGAAGUCGCCUCGCUGCUCCAGGUGCAGUCUGACAGGACACAGGAGGAACACUUGCACCAACACGCCUAGGGCGGAUUUCUACGAGUGAUGUUGUUAUGUUUUUAUGGUUGAAGUGUAGCAGUUCAUUGAACUGUGCUUAUGUCGGAUGUUAGGCUGCUAGCAACUCUGCACUAUGAUUGAUAGUGAGAAUCUGUAUCUGUAGUUUGCUUGUUGUGUUCGAUAAUUACUUGGAGACUCCGUGAUUUCAGUUUCA